CCUACGGGAGGCAGCAGUGAGGAAUAUUGGUCAAUGGACGAGAGUCUGAACCAGCAAAGUAGCGUGAAGGAUGACUGCCCUAUGGGUUGUAAACUUCUUUUAUAUGGGAAUAAAAUGUUCCACGUGUGGGAUUUUGUAUGUACCAUAUGAAUAAGGAUCGGCUAACUCCGUGCCAGCAGCCGCGGUAAUACGGAGGAUCCGAGCGUUAUCCGGAUUUAUUGGGUUUAAAGGGAGCGUAGGUGGAUUGUUAAGUCAGUUGUGAAAGUUUGCGGCUCAACCAUAAAAUUGCAGUUGAAACUGGCAGUCUUGAGUACAGUAGAGGUGGGCGGAAUUCGUGGUGUAGCGGUGAAAUGCUUAGAUAUCACGAAGAACUCCGAUGGCGAAGGCAGUGCACUGGACUGCAACUGACACUGAGGCUCGAAAGUGUGGGUAGCAAACAGGAUUAGAUACCCGAGUAGUC
rnacentral:rRNA from 1 species